UGGGGAAUAUUGCACAAUGGGCGCAAGCCUGAUGCAGCCAUGCCGCGUGUAUGAAGAAGGCCUUCGGGUUGUAAAGUACUUUCAGCGGGGAGGAAGGCGAUAAGGUUAAUAACCUUGUCGAUUGACGUUACCCGCAGAAGAAGCACCCGCUAACUCCGUGCCAGCAGCCGCGGUAAUACGGAGGGUGCAAGCGUUAAUCGGAAUUACUGGGCGUAAAGCGCACGCAGGCGGUCUGUCAAGUCGGAUGUGAAAUCCCCGGGCUCAACCUGGGAACUGCAUUCGAAACUGGCAGGCUAGAGUCUUGUAGAGGGGGGUAGAAUUCCAGGUGUAGCGGUGAAAUGCGUAGAGAUCUGGAGGAAUACCGGUGGCGAAGGCGGCCCCCUGGACAAAGACUGACGCUCAGGUGCGAAAGCGUGGGGAGCAAACA
rnacentral:rRNA from 1 species